AUCCUAUACAGAUGUAUUCAACGCUAGCCAGUUGAGCAUUUCCCUUUAGGAUUAAGUUUAUCAGAAGCUCUGACAACAACUCUUAUUGUGUGGCUGUGGCGCUGUGGUUACAGUUGAAAUGGGAUGAGUUAGGGUGGAAUAGGUUAACCGUAAGACCUUGGGUUGAAAAAUUCUAAAUUGGAGCUAGAGAUAUGGAUUUCUUAAAUUUUGUAUUUUCUGGUUACGGCGAG
rnacentral:sRNA from 12 species